GACGAACGCUGGCGGCGUGCUUAACACAUGCAAGUCGAACGGAAAGGCCCUGCUUUUGUGGGGUGCUCGAGUGGCGAACGGGUGAGUAACACGUGAGUAACCUGCCCUUGACUUUGGGAUAACUUCAGGAAACUGGGGCUAAUACCGGAUAGGAGCUCCUGCUGCAUGGUGGGGGUUGGAAAGUUUCGGCGGUUGGGGAUGGACGCGCGGCUUAUCAGCUUGUUGGUGGGGUAGUGGCUUACCAAGGCUUUGACGGGUAGCCGGCCUGAGAGGGUGACCGGCCACAUUGGGACUGAGGUAAGGCCCAGACUCCUACGGGAGGCAGAAGUGGGGAAUAUUGCACAGUGGGGGGAAGCCUGGUGCGAAAACGCUGGGUGCGGGAUGACGGCCUGCGAGUUAUAAACCGGUGUCCGCUGAGACGAAGCGUGAAUGACGGUAAUUGGUAAAGAAGCACCGGCUAACUACGUG
rnacentral:rRNA from 1 species